CCUUAGCUCAGUCGGUAGAGCAACUGACUCUUAAUCAGUGGGUCUAGGGUUCGAAUCCCU
rnacentral:tRNA from 1 species